CACCAUGCUGUCUAAGUAUAARCAUCUUUAUMCAGUGAAACUGCGUACGGCUCAUUAAAUCAGUAAUUAUUUAUUUGAUGGUACCUUACUACAUGGAUAACCGUARUAAUUCUAGAGCUAAUACRUGCGWAMMGUCCYGACUUUCSGGGAGGGAUGUAUUUAUUAGAUACMAAAUCAAUCCGGGCAACCGGKUCAUUGGUGAUUCAUAKUAACUGUUCGAAGCGCAUGGCCUUGUGCUGGCGCUAGUUCAUUCAAAUUUCUGCCCUAUCAGCUUUCGAUGGUAGUGUAGUGGACUACCAUGGCAGUGACGGGUGACGGARAAUUASGGUUCGAUUCCGGARAGGGAGCCUGAGAAAUGGCUACCACAUCCAUGGAAGGCAGCAGGCGCGCAAAUUACCCAAUCCUGACRCRGGGAGGUAGUGACAAAAAAUAACAAUACUGGGCCUUUCUAGGUCUGGUAAUUGGAAUGAGUACAAUUUAAAUCCCUUAACGAGGAUCCRUUGGAGGGCAAGUCUGGUGCCAGCAGCCGCGGUAAUUCCAGCUCCAAUAGCGUAUAUUAAAGUUGCUGCAGUUAAAAAGCUCGUAGUUGGAUUUCUGACAKUGAGGUACUGACCCGCCCAGGUUUACUGGUGUGAGUGUCGGUUGCUUCUUGUCAUCCUUUCUAGGKAACAYUGUUGGUUCKYCRCUGAGCUGGCMAUGCGAUCUAKAUCUUUUAC
rnacentral:rRNA from 1 species